GGCCCUCCAGGACUGCCAGGUUCACCAGGUAUAUCAGGUUUAGAAGCUGUGCCUGGUGCUCCUGGGCCAAAGGGUGAGCCAGGAGUUUCAGGAGUUAGAGGGCCUCCUGGAAUAAUUGGACCACGUGGACCUGUUGGGCCAGAGGGAAUAUCAGGAUUGCAGGGACCGAAGGGUGAACAAGGAAAUUCUGGACAACUUGGAUCUCCUG